UACUGGACCGCAACUGGGUGUUGCUUC
rnacentral:piRNA from 1 species